rnacentral:rRNA from 1 species
CUGGCUCAGGAUGAACGCUAGCUACAGGCUUAACACAUGCAAGUCGAGGGGCAGCAUGGUCUUAGCUUGCUAAGACUGAUGGCGACCGGCGCACGGGUGAGUAACGCGUAUCCAACCUUCCCCAUAGUAGGGGAUAGCCCGGCGAAAGUCGGAUUAAUACCCUAUGUUAUUCGAUGCAGACAUCUAAGUUGAAUCAAAGGUUUACCGCUAUGGGAUGGGGAUGCGUCUGAUUAGGUUGCAGGCGGGGUAACGGCCCACCUGGCCCACGAUCAGUAGGGGUUCUGAGAGGAAGGUCCCCCCACAUUGGAACUGAGACACGGUCCAAACUCCUACGGGAGGCAGCAGUGAGGAAUAUUGGUCAAUGGACGAGAGUCUGAACCAGCCAAGUAGCGUGCAGGAUGACGGCCCUAUGGGUUGUAAACUGCUUUUAUGCGGGGAUAAAGUGAGGGACGUGUCCCUUUUUGUAGGUACCGCAUGAAUAAGGACCGGCUAAUUCCGUGCCAGCAGCGGC